rnacentral:rRNA from 1 species
GUAGGUGGCAAGCGUUGUCCGGAAUUAUUGGGCGUAAAGCGCGCGCAGGCGGUUCUUUAAGUCUGAUGUGAAAGCCCACGGCUCAACCGUGGAGGGUCAUUGGAAACUGGAGAACUUGAGUACAGAAGAGGAAAGCGGAAUUCCACGUGUAGCGGUGAAAUGCGUAGAGAUGUGGAGGAACACCAGUGGCGAAGGCGGCUUUCUGGUCUGUAACUGACGCUGAGGCGCGAAAGCGUGGGGAGCAAACAGGAUUAGAUACCCUGGUAGUCCACGCCGUAAACGAUGAGUGCUAAUGUUAGGGGGUUUCCGCCCCCCUUAGUGCUGCAGCUAACGCAUUAAGCACUCCGCCUGGGAGUACGGCCGCAAGGCUG